rnacentral:rRNA from 1 species
AUUGAACGCUGGCGGCAUGCUUUACACAUGCAAGUCGAACGGUAACAGGCCUUCGGGUGCUGACGAGUGGCGAACGGGUGAGUAAUGCAUCGGAACGUGCCCAGAGGUUGGGGAUAACGCAUCGAAAGCUGUGCUAAUACCUCAUGUGAUCUGAGGUUGAAAGCGGGGGACCAGGCAGCAAUGUUUGGCCUCUCGCCUUUGUAGCGGCCGAUGUCAGAUUAGGUAGUUGGUGGGGUAAAGGCCUACCAAGCCGACGAUCUGUAGCUGGUCUGAGAGGACGACCAGCCACACUGGGACUGAGACACGGCCAAGACUCCUACGGGAGGCAGCAGUGGGGAAUAUUGGACAAUGGGCGCAAGCAUGAUCCAGCAAUGCCGCGUGCGGGAAGAAGGACUUCGGGUUGUAAACCGCUUUUGUAAGGAACGAAAAGGCUCUGGCUAAUACAUGGGGCUGAUGACGGUACCGAAAGAAUAAGCACCGGCUAACUACGUG